rnacentral:rRNA from 1 species
AGUGAACGCUGGCGGUAGGCCUAACACAUGCAAGUCGAACGGCAGCACAGUAAGAGCUUGCUCUUACGGGUGGCGAGUGGCGGACGGGUGAGGAAUACAUCGGAAUCUACUUUUUCGUGGGGGAUAACGGAGGGAAACUUACGCUAAUACCGCAUACGUCCUACGAGUGAAAGCAGGGGAUCUUCGGACCUUGCGCGAGUGAAUGAGCCGAUGUCGGAUUAGCUAGUUGGCGGGGUAAAGGCCCACCAAGGCGACGAUCCGUAGCUGGUCUGAGAGGAUGAUCAGCCACACUGGAACUGAGACACGGUCCAGACUCCUAGGGACGGCCGCAGCCGGGAAUAUUCGACAACGAGCGAGAGUCUGAUCCAGCCACACCGCGUGCGUACAGAAGACGUUGGGGUUGGAAAGACGCAAUGUUGGGAAAGAAAAGCAGCAGGUUAAGGCGCUGUUGUACUGACCGUACACAGAGAAUAAGCACCCGCUAACUUCAUU